CUGGGCCAGUGACUAGUGGAUAAGUCUGAGAAAAGCGUGAGCAUGCCCACUUGGCCAUGUCUUCCAGUCGGCUUUAUUAAGAAACUGAGGCCUGGUGAGAGUUCCACCUGUGGAAGGGACACCUUGCUCAGGACGUGUGAUCCCCGCCCAGCCGUGUGGAUUGACAGGACUCUCCCAGCAGUGGGGCGUGGAUGUUGAAUAUGAUGACCUCCUUGGAGAAGAACAUCUAUGCUGGCAUCCACCAUCAAUGACAACUGAAAGACCUGGUGUGGCGUCUCUAGCCGUAGAUGCCAGAUGGUCAACAUUCCUGAGCCCUUCCUUCAUAGCCCACCAGCCCUAUACAACUGCUUAAAGUUUGUGCUUGUUUAAGAUGAUCUUUGGGACAUGAGUCCACCAUCUUCUGAUUUUGCUGGCUAAUCGAAUAGAUCCCUUGCGCAACCACCAACUCCUCUUGCAAUUGAUUGGCUUCAAGGUUGCGGCAAGUAGAACGAGCCAUUGCUCAGUUAAAAUCUUUCUUAUGCACAUCCUAUCCUUGCUCAAAACCUAUUUAUGACUCUUCCCAAAGUCCUCCAGACAAAGCCUAAAUUGUCUAACUACACAGGCCAUCAGGCCCGAUUUUAGCUUUCUAGAUUAGGAGAGGGCAAACCACCAGCCAACGAAAUCCA